rnacentral:rRNA from 1 species
GGGUUGUGAGGUUAAGCGACUAAGCGUACACGGUGGAUGCCCUGGCAGUCAGAGGCGAUGAAGGACGUGCUAAUCUGCGAUAAGCGUCGGUAAGGUGAUAUGAACCGUUAUAACCGGCGAUUUCCGAAUGGGGAAACCCAGUGUGUUUCGACACACUAUCAUUAACUGAAUCCAUAGGUUAAUGAGGCGAACCGGGGGAACUGAAACAUCUAAGUACCCCGAGGAAAAGAAAUCAACCGAGAUUCCCCCAGUAGCGGCGAGCGAACGGGGAGCAGCCCAGAGCCUGAAUCAGUGUGUGUGUUAGUGGAAGCGUCUGGAAAGGCGCGCGAUACAGGGUGACAGCCCCGUACACAAAAAUGCACAUGCUGUGAGCUCGAUGAGUAGGGCGGGACACGUGGUAUCCUGUCUGAAUAUGGGGGGACCAUCCUCCAAGGCUAAAUACUCCUGACUGACCGAUAGUGAACCAGUACCGUGAGGGAAAGGCGAAAAGAACCCCGGCGAGGGGAGUGAAAAAGAACCUGAAACCGUGUACGUACAAGCAGUGGGAGCACGCUUCGGCGUGUGACUGCGUACCUUUUGUAUAAUGGGUCAGCGACUUAUAUUCUGUAGCAAGGUUAACCGAAUAGGGGAGCCGAAGGGAAACCGAGUCUUAACUGGGCGUUAAGUUGCAGGGUAUAGACCCGAAACCCGGUGAUCUAGCCAUGGGCAGGUUGAAGGUUGGGUAACACUAACUGGAGGACCGAACCGACUAAUGUUGAAAAAUUAGCGGAUGACUUGUGGCUGGGGGUGAAAGGCCAAUCAAACCGGGAGAUAGCUGGUUCUCCCCGAAAGCUAUUUAGGUAGCGCCUCGUGAAUUCAUCUCCGGGGGUAGAGCACUGUUUCGGCAAGGGGGUCAUCCCGACUUACCAACCCGAUGCAAACUGCGAAUACCGGAGAAUGUUAUCACGGGAGACACACGGCGGGUGCUAACGUCCGUCGUGAAGAGGGAAACAACCCAGACCGCCAGCUAAGGUCCCAAAGUCAUGGUUAAGUGGGAAACGAUGUGGGAAGGCCCAGACAGCCAGGAUGUUGGCUUAGAAGCAGCCAUCAUUUAAAGAAAGCGUAAUAGCUCACUGGUCGAGUCGGCCUGCGCGGAAGAUGUAACGGGGCUAAACCAUGCACCGAAGCUGCGGCAGCGACGCUUAUGCGUUGUUGGGUAGGGGAGCGUUCUGUAAGCCUGUGAAGGUGUGCUGUGAGGCAUGCUGGAGGUAUCAGAAGUGCGAAUGCUGACAUAAGUAACGAUAAAGCGGGUGAAAAGCCCGCUCGCCGGAAGACCAAGGGUUCCUGUCCAACGUUAAUCGGGGCAGGGUGAGUCGACCCCUAAGGCGAGGCCGAAAGGCGUAGUCGAUGGGAAACAGGUUAAUAUUCCUGUACUUGGUGUUACUGCGAAGGGGGGACGGAGAAGGCUAUGUUGGCCGGGCGACGGUUGUCCCGGUUUAAGCGUGUAGGCUGGUUUUCCAGGCAAAUCCGGAAAAUCAAGGCUGAGGCGUGAUGACGAGGCACUACGGUGCUGAAGCAACAAAUGCCCUGCUUCCAGGAAAAGCCUCUAAGCAUCAGGUAACAUCAAAUCGUACCCCAAACCGACACAGGUGGUCAGGUAGAGAAUACCAAGGCGCUUGAGAGAACUCGGGUGAAGGAACUAGGCAAAAUGGUGCCGUAACUUCGGGAGAAGGCACGCUGAUAUGUAGGUGAAGCGACUUGCUCGUGGAGCUGAAAUCAGUCGAAGAUACCAGCUGGCUGCAACUGUUUAUUAAAAACACAGCACUGUGCAAACACGAAAGUGGACGUAUACGGUGUGACGCCUGCCCGGUGCCGGAAGGUUAAUUGAUGGGGUUAGCGCAAGCGAAGCUCUUGAUCGAAGCCCCGGUAAACGGCGGCCGUAACUAUAACGGUCCUAAGGUAGCGAAAUUCCUUGUCGGGUAAGUUCCGACCUGCACGAAUGGCGUAAUGAUGGCCAGGCUGUCUCCACCCGAGACUCAGUGAAAUUGAACUCGCUGUGAAGAUGCAGUGUACCCGCGGCAAGACGGAAAGACCCCGUGAACCUUUACUAUAGCUUGACACUGAACAUUGAGCCUUGAUGUGUAGGAUAGGUGGGAGGCUUUGAAGUGUGGACGCCAGUCUGCAUGGAGCCGACCUUGAAAUACCACCCUUUAAUGUUUGAUGUUCUAACGUUGACCCGUAAUCCGGGUUGCGGACAGUGUCUGGUGGGUAGUUUGACUGGGGCGGUCUCCUCCUAAAGAGUAACGGAGGAGCACGAAGGUUGGCUAAUCCUGGUCGGACAUCAGGAGGUUAGUGCAAUGGCAUAAGCCAGCUUGACUGCGAGCGUGACGGCGCGAGCAGGUGCGAAAGCAGGUCAUAGUGAUCCGGUGGUUCUGAAUGGAAGGGCCAUCGCUCAACGGAUAAAAGGUACUCCGGGGAUAACAGGCUGAUACCGCCCAAGAGUUCAUAUCGACGGCGGUGUUUGGCACCUCGAUGUCGGCUCAUCACAUCCUGGGGCUGAAGUAGGUCCCAAGGGUAUGGCUGUUCGCCAUUUAAAGUGGUACGCGAGCUGGGUUUAGAACGUCGUGAGACAGUUCGGUCCCUAUCUGCCGUGGGCGCUGGAGAACUGAGGGGGGCUGCUCCUAGUACGAGAGGACCGGAGUGGACGCAUCACUGGUGUUCGGGUUGUCAUGCCAAUGGCACUGCCCGGUAGCUAAAUGCGGAAGAGAUAAGUGCUGAAAGCAUCUAAGCACGAAACUUGCCCCGAGAUGAGUUCUCCCUGACUCCUUGAGAGUCCUGAAGGAACGUUGAAGACGACGACGUUGAUAGGCCGGGUGUGUAAGCGCAGCGAUGCGUUGAGCUAACCGGUACUAAUGAACCGUGAGGCUUAACCUUACAACGCCGAAGCUGUU